rnacentral:sRNA from 1 species
GUGGUAACAUUCACAUUAAGAAUAGUGUGGCUAUAUUCCGUUAUUACAGAAAUGUAUCCCACACUGAAAAGCGUGAUAUCGCAUGAGCGAUUUUAACGCUUCCCGUUUUGUUGAGGGAAGCGUGAACUGGAAAUAAUGUGACAAUGAAUGAAGGAGAGACCCAUGCAGGUCAGCAGAAGGCAGUUCUUUAAG